AAACACUAAGAAUUUCCCCGUCUAUAACAAAGAAGACAAAGCAUAAUUGCCAUACAUGAGUUUAGAGUACAAAGUCCAUGUAUUUAGUCAAAUAUUAAAAGUGUUGUUUUCAGUACUAUCCAGCACACUGAGGCAUCACGCUACCCACCCUGAAACAAAAUCUAAAAUGACUCAGUGCUUGUUAUAGUAAUUUCUUUAUCAGGACAGUGGUUAGAUAAGGGAAGAUCACAACUCACUAUCUACUAGUAUUCUUCCCUGGCCUGUCUUUCUUCCCAUCUUCCCUGUCCUCUCACUUUGGAGUUCAGGAUAACUGUUAGACAAAAGUAAACAAGCCACACAACAACAGCAAAAGCACUGAUAAUUCUCUCAGUGAGCACAAGACCUCCUUCUCUCAUCCAGGAUUAUUAUGAUCUCUGUA
ensembl:processed_transcript Gm15680 predicted gene 15680